rnacentral:rRNA from 1 species
UGUUGGCUUAGAAGCAGCCAUCAUUUAAAGAGUGCGUAAUAGCUCACUAGUCGAGUGACACUGCGCCGAAAAUGUACCGGGGCUAAACAUAUUACCGAAGCUGUGGAUUGUCCUUUGGACAAUGGUAGGAGAGCGUUCUAAGGGCGUUGAAGCAUGAUCGUAAGGACAUGUGGAGCGCUUAGAAGUGAGAAUGCCGGUGUGAGUAGCGAAAGACGGGUGAGAAUCCCGUCCACCGAUUGACUAAGGUUUCCAGAGGAAGGCUCGUCCGCUCUGGGUUAGUCGGGUCCUAAGCUGAGGCCGACAGGCGUAGGCGAUGGAUAACAGGUUGAUAUUCCUGUACCACCUAUAAUCGUUUUA